UGGGCUUCCAGCCUUUUGGCUAAGAUCAAGUGUAGUAUCUGUUCUUAUCAGUUUAACUUAAUUCUUUGAAAUACAACUUUUAUCAUGGCCUUGUUUUCCCUGCCAUGAUGAAGUAGCAUUUAUUUCCCUAUUCUUGAAGUUGGCUGACUUUGU
rnacentral:snRNA from 1 species